rnacentral:rRNA from 1 species
UACAGAGGUCUCAAGCGUUGUUCGGAUUCAUUGGGCGUAAAGGGUGCGUAGGUGGCGCCAUAAGUCAGGUGUGAAAUUUCGGAGCUUAACUCCGAAACUGCAUUUGAUACUGUGGUGCUUGAGGACUGGAGAGGAGACUGGAAUUUACGGUGUAGCAGUGAAAUGCGUAGAGAUCGUAAGGAAGACCAGUGGCGAAGGCGGGUCGUCUGGACAGUUCCUGACACUGAGGCACGAAGGCCAGGGGAGCAAACGGG